rnacentral:rRNA from 1 species
AGUGAACGCUGGCGGUAGGCCUAACACAUGCAAGUCGAACGGCAGCACAGUAAGAGCUUGCUCUUACGGGUGGCGAGUGGCGGACGGGUGAGGAAUACAUCGGAAUCUACUUUUUCGUGGGGGAUAACGUAGGGAAACUUACGCUAAUACCGCAUACGACCUACGGGUGAAAGCAGGGGAUCUUCGGACCUUGCGCGAUUGAAUGAGCCGGUGUCGGAUUAGCUAGUUGGCGGGGUAAAGGCCCACCAAGGCGACGAUCCGUAGCUGGUCUGAGAGGCUGAUCAGCCACACUGGAACUGGGACACGGUCCAGACUCCUACGGGAGGCAGCAGUGGGGAAUAUUGGACAAUGGGCGCAAGCCUGAUCCAGCCAUACCGCGUGGGUGAAGAAGGCCUUCGGGUUGUAAAGCCCUUUUGUUGGGAAAGAAAAGCAGCAGGUUAAUACCCCGCUGUUCUGGCGGUACCCAAAGAAUAAGCACCGGCUAACUUCGUG